rnacentral:lncRNA from 1 species
UCAUCCAGUUUGGCAUGUCCAACAGCUUGGUAAUCUCGGGAUCAUGCAAUCUCACAGCUAAUAAUCUAGCUGUCUGACAUCUUUCUAUAUAAACAAUCAGAGCCUUGAGGAUCUAGGUAAGUUCGAUCAAAUUCAUCUCAGAGAAUCUAUUGCUGCUCUUUCAUUCUCUAUUUUUCUAACUUAAGUAUCAGAGGAUCCUCAUCGGAGUCACAAUCUCUGAUUUGAGACUUACUUUGCAGGUC